rnacentral:rRNA from 1 species
UGUUGUCCUGGGGUAAGCAUGUAGGGCGUGUCGUAGGUAAAUCCGCUGCAUUUAAGCCUGAGAUGUGAUGCCGAGCCGAUUGUGGUGAAGUGGAUGAUCCUAUGCUGCCGAGAAAAGCCUCUAGUGAGUGUUGUGGCGGCCCGUACCCUAAACCGACUCAGGUGGUCAGGUAGAGAAUACCAAGGCGAUCGGGUGAACUGUGGUUAAGGAACUCGGCAAAUUGCCCCCGUAACUUCGGGAGAAGGGGGACCUCUGUUGGUGAUGGGCUUUACGCCUGGAGCUGGUGGGGGUCGCAGUGGCCAGGGGGAAGCGACUGUUUACUAAAAACACAGGUCCGUGCGAAGUCGUAAGACGAUGUAUACGGACUGACGCCUGCCCGGUGCCGGAACGUUAAGGGGACCGCUUAGCUGACGUGAGUUGGCGAAGGUGAGAACUUAAGCGCCGGUAAACGGCGGUGGUAACUAUAACCAUCCUAAGGUAGCGAAAUUCCUUGUCGGGUAAGUUCCGACCUGCACGAAUGGCGUAACGACUUCCCCGCUGUCUCAACCGCAGGCCCGGCGAAAUUGCACUACGAGUAAAGAUGCUCGUUUCGCGCAGCAGGACGGAAAGACCCCGGGACCUUCACUACAGCUUGACAUUGGCGUUUGGAACGUCUUGUGUAGGAUAGGUGGGAGACUGGGAAGCUGUCACGCUAGUGAUGGUGGAGUCAUUGGUGAAAUACCACUCUGGUCGUUUUGAACGUCUAACUCUGGUCCGUGAUCCGGAUCGGGGACAGUGUCUGGUGGGUAGUUUAACUGGGGCGGUUGCCUCCUAAAGAGUAACGGAGGCGCCCAAAGGUUCCCUCAGCCUGGUUGGCAAUCAGGUGUUGAGUGUAAGUGCACAAGGGAGCUUGACUGUGAGACUGACAGGUCGAGCAGGAGCGAAAGCUGGGACUAGUGAUCCGGCAUCGGCGUGUGGAAGCGGUGUCGCUCAACGGCUAAAAGGUACCCCGGGGAUAACAGGCUGAUCUUCCCCAAGAGUCCAUAUCGACGGGAUGGUUUGGCACCUCGAUGUCGGCUCGUCGCAUCCUGGGGCUGGAGUAGUCCCAAGGGUUGGGCUGUUCGCCCAUUAAAGCGGUACGCGAGCUGGGUUUAGAACGUCGCGAGACAGUUCGGUCCCUAUCCGCUGCGCGCGCAGGAGACUUGAAGGGGGCUGUCCCUAGUACGAGAGGACCGGGACGGACGAACCUCUGGUGUGCCAGUUGUACCGCCAGGUGCACGGCUGGUUGGCUACGUUCGGAAGGGAUAACCGCUGAAAGCAUCUAAGCGGGAAGCUCGCCUUGAGAUGAGGUCUCCCACCACGAGAGUGGGUAAGGCUCCCGGUAGACGACCGGGUUGAUAGGCCGGAGGUGGAAGCACGGUAACGUGUGGAGCUGACCGGUACUAAUAGGCCGAGGACUUGACC